rnacentral:rRNA from 1 species
AACGAACGCUGGCGGCAGGCUUAACACAUGCAAGUCGAACGGUGAAGCAGGAGCUUGCUCCUGUGGAUCAGUGGCGAACGGGUGAGUAACACGUGAGCAAUCUGCCCUGGACUCUGGGAUAAGCGUUGGAAACGACAUCUAAUACCGGAUACGAGGCGUGGGGGCAUCCCCAACGCACGGAAAGAACUCCGGUCCAGGAUGAGCUCGCGGCCUACCAGGUAGUUGGUGAGGUAACGGCUCACCAAGCCUACGACGGGUAGCCGGCCUGAGAGGGUGACCGGCCACACUGGGACUGAGACACGGCCCAGACUCCUACGGGAGGCAGCAGUGGGGAAUAUUGCACAAUGGGCGCAAGCCUGAUGCAGCAACGCCGCGUGAGGGACGACGGCCUUCGGGUUGUAAACCUCUUUUAGCAGGGAAGAAGCGAAAGUGACGGUACCUGCAGAAAAAGCACCGGCUAACUACGUGCCAGCCGCCGCCGUAACAC